AAUGAACGUUGGCGGCGUGGAUUAGGCAUGCAAGUCGUACGGGUCGGUGUAGCAAUACAACGGCAAGUGGCGAAAGGGAGAGUAACACGUAGAUACCUACCCUCUGGUCGGGGAUACCGCGGCAUAACCGCAAGUAAUACCCGAUAAAAUCUCCGGAUCAAAGGUGUGAUUCCGCCGGAGGAGGGGUCUGCGUUCUAUCAGCUUGUUGGUGAGGUAAUGGCUCACCAAGGCUAAGACGGAUACGGGGUGUGAGAGCAUGCCCACGCUCACUGGGACUGAGACACUGCCCGGACACCUACGGGUGGCGGCAGUCGAGAAUCUGCGGCAAUGGGCGCAAGCCUGACCGAGCGACGUCGCGUGCGGGAUGAAGGCCUUCGGGUUGUAAACCGCUGUCGAGGGGAAUGAAGUGCAAGUGAGUUAUCUCAUUUGUUUGACAGAUCCCUGGAGGAAGCAUGGGCUAAGUUCGUGCCAGCCGCCGCUGUAAAAC
rnacentral:rRNA from 1 species